rnacentral:miRNA from 1 species
GCUGAUCAGUAGUGGGAUGGUGCCUAUGAAUAACCACUGCACUCCAGCCUGGGCAACAUAGUGAGACCCUGUCUCU